rnacentral:rRNA from 1 species
UAAAAACAUGGCUCUUUGAAUUUUAAGAAUAAGGAGUCGGACCUGCCCAGUGAAUAUUUCAACGGCCGCGGUACUCUGACCGUGCAAAGGUAGCAUAAUCAUUUGCCUUAUAAUUGAAGGCUAGUAUGAAUGGUUUGACAAGAAUGAAGCUGUCUCUUUAUAAUUUAAUAGAAUUUUAUCUUUAGGUGAAGAAGCCUAAAUAAAAUUAAAAGACAAGAAGACCCUAUCGAGCUUAAAAAAAAUUAAUAGAAUUAAUUAAAUUAAUAUUUAUAAAAAAUUGUCUAUUAAACAUUUUAGUUGGGGCGACUGAGGAACAUAAAAAGCUUCCUUUAAAGUGAAAUUAAUAAAUCAAACUAGAAUUGAUCCAAAAUAUUUUGAUUAAAGAAAUUAGUUACCGUAGGGAUAACAGCAUUAUCUUUUUUAAGAGCUCAUAUCGAAAAAAAGGUUUGUGACCUCGAUGUUGGACCAGAAUAUCCUAAAGGUGCAGCAGUCUUUAAGGGUUGGUCUGUUCGACCAUUAAAAUUCUACGUGA